rnacentral:rRNA from 1 species
UACGUAGGGGGGCAAGCGUUGUCCGGAUUUAUUGGGCGUAAAGAGCGUGUAGGCGGUCAGGUAGGUCCGUUGUGAAAACUCGAGGCUCAACCUCGAGACGCCGAUGGAAACCAUCUGACUAGAGUCCGGAAGAGGAGAGUGGAAUUCCUGGUGUAGCGGUGAAAUGCGCAGAUAUCAGGAGGAACACCCGUGGCGAAAGCGGCUCUCUGGGGACGGUACUGACGCUGAGACGCGAAAGCGUGGGGAGCAAACAGG